UGGUCCUGAUGGCUUCUCUGCA
rnacentral:siRNA from 1 species